rnacentral:rRNA from 1 species
AUACAUGCAAGUCGAACGAGUUCUCGUUGAUGAUCGGUGCUUGCACCGAGAUUCAACAUGGAACGAGUGGCGGACGGGUGAGUAACACGUGGGUAACCUGCCCUUAAGUGGGGGAUAACAUUUGGAAACAGAUGCUAAUACCGCAUAGAUCCAAGAACCGCAUGGUUCUUGGCUGAAAGAUGGCGUAAGCUAUCGCUUUUGGAUGGACCCGCGGCGUAUUAGCUAGUUGGUGAGGUAAUGGCUCACCAAGGCGAUGAUACGUAGCCGAACUGAGAGGUUGAUCGGCCACAUUGGGACUGAGACACGGCCCAAACUCCUACGGGAGGCAGCAGUAGGGAAUCUUCCACAAUGGACGCAAGUCUGAUGGAGCAACGCCGCGUGAGUGAAGAAGGCUUUCGGGUCGUAAAACUCUGUUGUUGGAGAAGAAUGGUCGGCAGAGUAACUGUUGUCGGCGUGACGGUAUCCAACCAGAAAGCCACGGCUAACUACGUGCCAGCAGCCGCGGUAAUACGUAGGUGGCAAGCGUUAUCCGGAUUUAUUGGGCGUAAAGCGAGCGCAGGCGGUUUUUUAAGUCUGAUGUGAAAGCCCUCGGCUUAACCGAGGAAGCGCAUCGGAAACUGGGAAACUUGAGUGCAGAAGAGGACAGUGGAACUCCAUGUGUAGCGGUGAAAUGCGUAGAUAUAUGGAAGAACACCAGUGGCGAAGGCGGCUGUCUGGUCUGUAACUGACGCUGAGGCUCGAAAGCA